GAUGAACGCUGGCGGCGUGCUUAACACAUGCAAGUCGAACGGGAAACCUUUUAUUGAAGCUUCGGCAGAUUUAGCUGGUUUCUAGUGGCGGACGGGUGAGUAACGCGUGGGUAACCUGCCUUAUACAGGGGGAUAACAACCAGAAAUGGUUGCUAAUACCGCAUAACCGCACAGGACCGCAUGGUCCGGUGUGAAAAACUCCGGUGGUAUAAGAUGGACCCGCGUUGGAUUAGCUAGUUGGCAGGGUAACGGCCUACCAAGGCGAGGAUCCAUAGCCGGCCUGAGAGGGUGAACCGCCACAUUGGGACUGAGACACGGCCCGGACUCCUACGGGAGGCAGCAGUGGGGAAUAGUGCACAAUGGGGGAAACCCUGAUGCAGCGACGCCGCGUGAAGGAAGAAGUAUCUCGGUAUGUAAACUUCUAUCAGCAGGGAAGAUAGUGACGGUACCUGACUAAGAAGCCCCGGCUAACUACGUG
rnacentral:rRNA from 1 species